rnacentral:rRNA from 1 species
GGACUACAGGGGUAUCUAAUCCCGUUCGCUCCCCUAGCUUUCGCACCUGAGCGUCAGUGACUCCCCAGAACGCUGCCUUCGCCAUCGGUGUUCUUCCAGAUCUCUACGCAUUUCACCGCUCCACCUGGAAUUCCGCGUUCCUCUGAAGUCCUCAAGUCAUGCAGUUUCUCAAGCACUGCCCCAGUUGAGCCGGGACCUGUCACUCAAAACUUACACGACCGCCUGCGUGCGCUUUACGCCCAAUAAAUCCGGACAACGCUUGCCCCCUACGUAUUACCGCGGCUGCUGGCAC